UGUUGCGGACUUUUAUUGUAACUCCGUGCAAGUCAUCCAAGUGCAUCUUGGGUACUCUUUCUGCAAGUUAUCCAAGUGCAUCUUGGGUAUUCUUUCUUUUUUUCUUGUGUGAAGCGCCUGAAGAUUGCGGUGUGACGGUGCUCUGACUCCGUAGUAAGUAGGGACGCUACUGGAGUUGAUGUUCGGUGAUUUUGGGCGCGAGCCGUCGACCACUGUUCGCCAUUGCAGGCAUGACAAGGUUGUGUCAUGGAGCCUCCACCCUCCAGUUCCAGUAUAUGUUAUGUAUGCUGAGAGGAAGGUUUCUUCUAUAGGGGGACUUAAAUUCUCUGACCUGCCUGACCUUUAAGACGUGUACUGCCCCUCUGAAAUGGCUUCAGUACGAAGGAGCACCAACUGAGGGAAUAUUGAUGCCACCUGUGUCCAAUUGGUAUUCAUUACAGAGGCCCUCCCUGAUUGGCCACAGACAGCAGGUGACAGGGUAUAAACGGUGUGCGAAGACAGCAAACAGUUCUGUGUUUUUCUCUCUCUCCAGGAAAAUGGAGAGGUUUGGUCUUUUGUAGAUUGAGAGGAAUUUUCCAUGAUUUUUUUUUCUGCAGAAGAUAAAGUGGUUGAAAUUUUUUUCUUUGUGGCUGAUCUGAAUAAAAAAAAAAAAGUUUUAUUCUGAACAUCAACUCCUGCCUGCUGGUCCAUCCUUCCCAUUCACACUACUGACCAUCCUCAAAGUAUAACAGGUUGCAAUUAAAAAAA